GCACAGAACCUAUAGCGGAAUCUCACAUCUCCGAACCGCCAACCAUCCAGCGAAAGCCUCCAGUUGCAGAGCGAGCCCUACGGGAUUUAUCACGAAUACCUGUGAGAACAACCGGGCUCCCCCCACACAGCCGCACGGACAACCGGAGCCGCACCGUCCCCGUGCCGGUUCCUCAGCCGCCCCCCGGCCGGCAGCUCGGCCUCCCAGAGGCGCACACACGUUAACCCCCCUGCUCGGGGCCGGACGGCCAACCCCCACCUCCGCACCUCGCCAGGCCGCUCGCACGACACCAAAGGCGCACACCCGGCCGGCCGCCGCCACCACCGCCGCCGCCAUGCUGGCUUCCCGCCUCUGUUGCCGGCCACCGUACUGAGCUGUCCGACGCUGUGCCUGAUGGGCACACUGUGGACAGCCCCAAGCUAAGAACUCUCCGCAGGACCCCACCGACUGCCCGACCUCGGCAUGGGGCUUUCUCCAGCGACAGGCGGUCACGUGAUGGGGCGGGGCCACCGGAUGGCGGGCCGGGGCUUCGCGCCGCCAUCUUGUUCGCCGACGGGUAUGAGAGGGGAGCCGCCAUCUUGUUCGCCACUGGGCUACGGCGGUGCUGACGGUCGCCCUCGUGCCUUGGCCGUGUCCCUUGCUGGGCGCUGCUUUGAGGAGAAGAGAGAUUUGCCAUGCAGAAGAGCUGCUUAGCACCAAGCCUUGUGGCAGGGCUACCUCAUGGCGAAGAUCAGGCUGUGUGCACUUAGCACACUGCGUGGGC
rnacentral:lncRNA from 1 species